rnacentral:rRNA from 1 species
GAUGAACGCUGGCGGCGUGCCUAAUACAUGCAAGUCGAGCGAAUGGAUUAAGAGCUUGCUCUUAUGAAGUUAGCGGCGGACGGGUGAGUAACACGUGGGUAACCUGCCCAUAAGACUGGGAUAACUCCGGGAAACCGGGGCUAAUACCGGAUAACAUUUUGAACCGCAUGGUUCGAAAUUGAAAGGCGGCUUCGGCUGUCACUUAUGGAUGGACCCGCGUCGCAUUAGCUAGUUGGUGAGGUAACGGCCCACCAAGGCAACGAUGCGUAGCCGCCCAGAGAGGGUGAUCGGCCACACUGGGACGGAGACACGGCCCAGACUCCUACGGGAGGCAGCAGUAGGGAAUCUUCCGCACUGGACGAAGGUCUGACGGAGCAACGCCGCGUGAGUGAUGAAGGCUUUCGGGUCGUAAAACUCUGUUGUUAGGGAAGAACAAGUGCUAGUUGAAUAAGCUGGCACCUUGACGGUACCUAACCAGAAAGCCACGGCUAACUACGUGCCAGCCGCCGCAGUAA